GAAGAGCCAUACAAAGAGGGCGAAGAGCAGCGCCACGCCGAGGGAGGUGAGUGCUAUUGCCCAGAUGGGGAGGACCAGGCCCAGAACUGGCAGAUCAAAGUGAGAGCAGGGUUGUCAAUGGACACCGAAAGUGUCUAGACUGCUGAGUGGAUUCCUGAGAAAGGAGGCCCGUCUUUGGUCCAGGCAGCCAGCCGGCUCCUGCGGCAGCAGGCACGGAGGGCAGGCCCCGCGCAGCUUCUCAGGAGCCAGCAGGUGCUGCUGGAAAAGCACGUGACAUCCUGACCAGGUACACAAACAUUUUUAAAAGUCAGCUUUGAAAUAAAAGUUUUUUGAAAGGACAUUUAUCUUCAAAUGUAGCUUUUCUUUGAAGUGUCACCUCACAGAAUUCUGGAAACUCUUCACUCAAACCCAGUUGCACACACUAAGCUAUGAUUACGGCAGCCAAGAAAAAGGCAGACGAGCCCAUGGCUUAGGAGCACCGCAGUCUCCUGGCCCUGUGACGCACCCCCAAGCGCAUCGCCCGGAAUCUGGUACAUCUUCUGGCACUGGAAGCAACAGGCACAUUUCACAUGUUCACAGUGUACAACUUAAAUGUGCACACUUACGCAAGAGCACGAAUAUGUGUGCAUGAAUCCUUACCACGGCAUUAUUUGUAACAGUAAGAAUUUGCAAGAAUACUAAUAGAAUCUUUGUCAUGGAAAUGUGAAAUAAUUACAGCACAGAGUCAUAAAAAUGAGGUAGAGUCACUUAGACUGAUGAGGAAAGAGCCCAAAAUCUAGUGUGUUAAGAAAGGCUACGUGCAUAAUGGUACUCAUAGUAUGACCCAAUUUAUGUAUAAAAAAGGAAAACAACCACACAUGUACACUCCUACUAUAUACAUGAAUUACAGGAAAAGUUCUGGAAAGAUACAAUGGUUAAUCCCAUGGAGAGAUGGGAAACUGGAGGGGGCUUUCCCUUCUGACUUACGUAUACUUUUGUAUAUACUUUUGAACACACAUAAUGACAUCACUUUUGUAAAUUGUUAAAAGUCUGUAAGUUUUAAAGGAGUGAACUAUUUAAGCUUUGCUCUUUGCUCUUAGAUUAAAUAAAUCUUAAAUGAUUCAGGCUUUGUUACACUGUUAACUAUUUUUUAUCUAUAACUCAGUUAUUCAAUGAAGGUAUGGUUAAACAUUUUGGUAAUUGUUAAGAGGAAGAACAGAUAAUUAAUACUAUAAAUGGGGUGUCAAGA